GUUUUUUGAGACUUUGUACACAUGGACAGGGCCUGGCUGGCUUUGAAUAGAAUUCCUGGAUACCUGCUUAUUGAUGAGUGUUGCAAGGCAGCUGUUCAGUCCUUUCCCACUGAGACACACAUGCCAGACACUGUUCAUAAAAGUGAUAUUCAUUCAUGUGUUGGGGGCAAGUCAUUUACUAGCUGUAAUUUCACCCAAAUAUACAUUUAUAUAGUCAUGGUUAAAAAUUGACAGAUACUGUAAGACAGUACAUUCAACUGGAAGCACAGUACUUUUUCUAUCUUUAAUGUAGAAAUACAGUUUUCAAAAAUGAGCAUUUGGAUAAUUUAGUACAGAUUUCUCCCCUUAGUGCACUAUUUGUAGAUUUCAUAUUGCAUAUAAUAAAUCUG
rnacentral:lncRNA from 10 species